CCUGGCGGCACUAGCGCGGUGGUCCCACCUGACCCCAUGCCGAACUCAGAAGUGAAACGCCGUAGCGCCGAUGGUAGUGUGGGGG
rnacentral:rRNA from 1 species